rnacentral:lncRNA from 1 species
GGCAGGGGACACCAGACCAUCUCACAUCUACCAAACUCCUGGACUGAGCUUUCAGCUCUGCGCUUCUGAGACUCAGGGGAAGUCAGCGGCCCUCCAAGUAUCGUCCAGACCCGGCAGAAGGUCCUGAUGCCUCCGCUGAGACACACUCCAGCCCCUGGUGGACCCCACUGCCAGCUGUGAUCCUUGGUCCAGCCUGGGUGCCCACCAUGGCCUGUGGCCUUCUGGACUUUCACCUGCUUGUUCAGA